rnacentral:ncRNA from 1 species
UACCUGAUUGAUUCUGUCAGCGCGAUAUGCUCAACGUAAAAGAUUAAGCCAUGCAUGCUUUGAUUCAUCAAUGAAAUUGCGUACGGCUCAUU